rfam:Globodera pallida, Lindley, WGS project CBXT01000000 data, contig: pathogens_Gpal_scaffold_49_contig_43
CUGCCGGUCUCUCCCCGGCGUUGGCCUUCACUGGUCGGCGUCGGUGGGCUGGCGAGUUUACUUUGAACAAAUCAGAGUGCUUCAAACAGGCGUUUCGCUUGAAUGUUCGUGCAUGGAAUAAUAGAAGAGGAUUUCGGUCCGAUUUUAUUGGUUUUGCUGACCGAGAUAAUGGUUAACAGAGACAAACGGGGCCAUUCGUAUUGCUACGUGAGAGGUGAAAUUCUUGGACCGUAGCAAGACGGACUACAGCGAAAGCAUUUGGCAAGAAUGUCUUCAUUAAUCAAGAACGAAAGUCAGAGGUUCGAAGGCGAUCAGAUACCGCCCUAGUUCUGACCGUAAACGAUGCCAACUAGCGAUCCGCCGGCGGAUUCAUUCGCCCUGGUGGGGAGCUUCCCGGAAACGAAAGUCUUCCGGUUCCGGGGGAAGUAUGGUUGCAAAGCUGAAACUUAAAGGAAUUGACGGAAGGGCACCACCAGGAGUGGAGCCUGCGGCUUAAUUUGACUCAACACGGGGAAACUCACCCGGCCCGGACACCGUAAGGAUUGACAGAUUGAUAGCUUUUUCAUGAUUCGGUGGAUGGUGGUGCAUGGCCGUUCUUAGUUCGUGGAGCGAUUUGUCUGGUUUAUUCCGAUAACGAGCGAGACUCUAGCCUACUAAAUAGUUGGCUCAUUGCUGCUGUGGGCACAACUUCUUAGAGGGAUUUUCGGUGUUCAGCCGCACGAAAUUGAGCAAUAACAGGUCUGUGAUGCCCUUAGAUGUCCGGGGCUGCACGCGCGCUACACUGGCAAAAUCAGCGUGCUUGUCCUUCCCCGAAAGGGGUUGGUAAACCGGUGAAAAUUUGCCGUGAUUGGGAUCGGACAUUGCAAUUAUUGUCCGUGAACGAGGAAUUCCUUGUAGGGGCGAGUCAUCAACUCGCUCUGAAUACGUCCCUGCCCUUUGUACACACCGCCCGUCGCCUGCCCGGACUGACGCCAUUCGAGAAACGUCGGGGACGAUUAUGUGUGUCGGUCUUCGGUCGUCGCGUUGAGUUGGAACCGUAUUUAA